UGGGGGAUAUUGCACAAUGGGCGCAAGCCUGAUGCAGCGACGCCGCGUGGAGGAAGAAGGUUUUCGGAUUGUAAACUCCUGUCUUUGGGGACGAUAAUGACGGUACCCAAGGAGGAAGCCACGGCUAACUACGUGCCAGCAGCCGCGGUAAUACGUAGGUGGCAAGCGUUGUCCGGAAUUACUGGGUGUAAAGGGAGCGUAGGCGGGAAUGCAAGUCCAGUGUGAAAUCUAUCGGCUCAACCGAUAGCUGCGCUGGAAACUGCGUUUCUUGAGUGAAGUAGAGGCAGGCGGAAUUCCUAGUGUAGCGGUGAAAUGCGUAGAUAUUAGGAGGAACACCAGUGGCGAAGGCGGCCUGCUGGGCUUUUACUGACGCUGAGGCUCGAAAGUGUGGGUAGCAAACAGG
rnacentral:rRNA from 1 species